CAGUCAUGUCACGUUAAAAGACCGAUUCCCGUACGAUCACCGAAGUUAAGGAACGUCGAGACUGGUCAGUAGUAAGAUGGGUGACGGCUAGACAAUACCAGGUGCUGUAUG